rnacentral:lncRNA from 1 species
CUGUGAUUCAACCACCUUCCAACAGGUCCCUUCCUGGACCUGGGGAUUAUAAUUGGGAUUGCAAUUCAAGAUGAGAUGGGCUGGAUUCAUAAGGGACGAAUCUUCAAGUGAAAACUCAGGUUCUGCCCAGUAAUGGCCUCUCUCAACUCCCACCUCUCCAAACAGCAGUGAUGGCUCCAGAGAAUGUGAUGGACGCUUUACUCACAAACUUAGGAUGUUUAUUCCUUUGCUCAAGAGGAAUCACAGAGGUCCACUCCCUCCUCAGCAAUGGGCCUUAUAGGUGUGAAAUUUUGCCCAUAAUGACCUCAAGGCAAAACACAGCAGAAUCCACCAGCAAUUCUUUCUCUCCUUUCCCCAGAAGAGAUAUGAGGACUCAGGCUUUGAGAUGCACUGGCCAAUAGAACUAAGGUCCAGAGAGAUGAAGGGACUCAUUCAGAGAGUCACACAACCAUGAAGAAACCAAGUUUGAAGUUGAGCUAAGGUCCUCUCAUGCAAGACCACUGUCAAAUCCUGCUGGUCAAGCACACGCCACUCCCAGGACACAAACACAUUGUUGUGUCUGUGAACAGUGUCCCCCAGUGUUGUGAAGGACACACCAGUGUGGCUGUACCACACUCAAUUCACA